rnacentral:sRNA from 1 species
GUCGUGAGAUGUUGGGUUAAGUCCCGCAACGAGCGCAACCCUUGUCCUUAGUUGCCAGCACGUAAUGGUGGGAACUCUAAGGAGACCGCCGGUGACAAACCGGAGGAAGGUGGGGAUGACGUCAAGUCAUCAUGGCCCUUACGGCCAGGGCUACACACGUACUACAAUGGGGGGUACAGAGGGUCGCGAAGCCGCGAGGUGGAGCCAAUCCCAGAAAACCUCUCUCAGUCCGGAUCGGAGUCUGCAACUCGACUCCGUGAAGUCGGAAUCGCUAGUAAUCGCGAAUCAGCAUUGUCGCGGUGAAUACGUUCCCGGGCCUUGUACACACCGCCCGUCACACCAUGGGAGUUGGUUGCUCCAGAAGCAGGUAGUCUAACCGCAAGGGGGACGCUUGCCACGGAGUGGUCAAUGACUGGGGUGAAGUCGUAACAAGGUAGCCGUAUCGGAAGGUGCGGCUGGAUCACCUCCUUUCGAGAACGACGUCCCACUCCAUGGCGUCCACACAAGACACCUGCACUGUUCAGAAGCAUUAGAGCCUUGGGCUCCAGGCAUUAUUGCCUGUGAGGCCCCAAAGGUUACGCGAAAUCAAGCGAAUCGUUGGGUCUGUAGCUCAGGUGGUUAGAGCGCACCCCUGAUAAGGGUGAGGUCGGUGGUUCGAGUCCUCCCAGACCCACCACUUAUCGCUUGAAGUCCUUUUCAAAAAAGGGGCUGUAGCUCAGCUGGGAGAGCACCUGCUUUGCAAGCAGGGGGUCACCGGUUCGAUCCCGGUCAGCUCCACCAGCUCGAUGCAUUUUCUGAAUACUGCGCACACUAAAGAAUUUUUGCUUGCCGGACGUUGAGGUCCAGGCGAGGCUCUUUGAAAACUUGGGACGUAACAAGCGUCUAGACUCUUUGCCGAGCUAGAUGUGUCGUUGAGGCAAUUAGGCGAAAUAUUGAGUGUUGAUCGGCUCGGAGGCGACUUCGAGUUAUAUGAUCAAGCGAAUAAGCGUCUACGGUGGAUGCCUUGGCGGUCAGAGGCGAUGAAGGACGUGGCAGCCUGCGAAAAGCGCGGGGGAGCUGGCAACAUGCAUUGAUCCCGCGAUGU